rnacentral:rRNA from 1 species
GAUGAACGCUGGCGGCGUGCCUAAUACAUGCAAGUCGAGCGAACAGACGAGGAGCUUGCUCCUUUGACGUUAGCGGCGGACGGGUGAGUAACACGUAGGUAACCUACCUAUAAGACUGGGAUAACUUCGGGAAACCGGAGCUAAUACCGGAUAAUAUUUCGAACCGCAUGGUUCGAUAGUGAAAGAUGGCUUUGCUAUCACUUAUAGAUGGACCUGCGCCGUAUUAGCUAGUUGGUAAGGUAACGGCUUACCAAGGCAACGAUACGUAGCCGACCUGAGAGGGUGAUGGGCCACACUGGAACUGAGACACGGUCCAGACUCCUACGGGAGGCAGCAGUAGGGAAUCUUCCGCAAUGGGCGAAAGCCUGACGGAGCAACGCCGCGUGAGUGAUGAAGGUCUUCGGAUCGUAAAACUCUGUUAUUAGGGAAGAACAAACGUGUAAGUAACUGUGCACGUCUUGACGGUACCUAAUCAGAAAGCCACGGCUAACUACGUG